GCAAAGUGAAAUCUCCAUUAGUUUGACGCCUGCAUGCACGCUUCUCUUCGACUGCCUUUCUGCAGCCACUCCAUCUCUACAACUUGAGUUUUGUCUAUUCAAGAGAAACCAGGGGUUUCCAAGGCUUCACAUUGAGGAACAACGGCAGCGCACAGCCAACGCGGGCCGGAGCUCAGAACUGGAGAGCAGAAUGUAUGCUGAACAGGGACGGUUGUAGUUGAGUGCCUGUACACGAACCAACCUGCCUGUGUUGUCUCUAAUAGUUUGUUCACAGGGCUGUCUGUCAGCUCGUAUGCUUGCGGGCUGUUGUCAGACGGCUGUCCUUCAGAGUCUGACUGAAAACUGCUGCGUGAGAACUGAGUGUGCACAACAGUCAUUUCAUAUUACCGUCCUUGUGAGUGUGAUGCUAUCUGACUCCUGAGGUUUAAAAGUGGCACACUGACAAUUGUACCUGACCUCGUUUGCAAAGAGAAUGGGAUGAUAAAUUCAUGCAUUAUUUUACUGCAGUAUUUUGAUUGUAAAGUCAAAGCCGCUUAUCUUAAAAGGCAAUAAACCAACGUCUGCAGGGCCUCAGUUUUGCACUGACAAUAGUUGCUAUAGCUCAGAAACAGUGAUGUUGCAGUGAUGAUAUUUUUAGGAGAAGGUGCUGUAAGGGUUUCAGCCUGGGCCGUGUCGGGGCAUGUCACCCCGCACCCUGCACAGUGCUCCCCCAUGUUAUGUAAGCACCCUUUCUCGCCAGGCCCAGGGUGAAAUAUGUGCAUGGCUGUGCCACUGCAUUGACAUGACACUGGAUUAGAGUAGAGUGUCUGAGGAAGCCCCAAAAAUAACUCCCAUAAUCCUCUAAAAACAUCAUCACUAGGGGUUUGAAUGGCCCACUUGUAGGCUGGAAAAACGUGCCACAGCAGUAGCAUGCUACCAAAAUAAAAAACAGGGCACCCAUCCUUAAUAAUACACAUAAUACCACACCUUUGUGUCAGAUUAAAAAGGAGCUUGCCCGUGGCUGUCUGGAAAGUUGUCAGAUUCCAUAAACACACUUAGUACUUAACUUGUCUGGGCAUCUGUAUGAAACUUAAGGUGGUAGAGUGUGUCUAAACAUGACAAUAGAAAAUAAAUAAAUGCUACGAAUGGUUUUGCUGUUGUUGCAAUAGUGAGGCAGUAUUCUUUAUAUAACAAGGUUUUGUUGCUUUGUUGUGGGUUGAUGGAGACACGUGGGCACUCACAAGUGUAAGUGUACAGUAGAUAUUCUAGUUAAGUAUUUGAAGUGAUCUGUGUUGGUGGUGAAGUAUUUUCAAUGUGAAAGAGCCCGCAUAGAUAAUAAGGAAGUCUAAUGACCAAGAGUCCAUCUGAAGUCCUAAUCAGUUUCAGAAAUGUAAUUUAAGGUACAGUUAGAUGCUGAUGAGCAGUGCUGCAGUCCGUCUCUGUCCUGGGUACUUCACUGAGUCAGCUGCUGUGUGACCUCUUGCAUCACUUGUCCAUUAGGAACAGUGAUGACAUAAUCCUAAUAAAUGUCAAGCGUGAAUCUGAGCCAAUGAAUAUUACAUUGAUCAAAACAGAAUGUGGAAAGUGUGUGGAGAACUGUGGAACUUCAGUGUGCCUUCAGCAGUGCUGGAGGACAGCAACAUGGAGCAUUAAAGAAAGCACAAACAUACAGUGGAUUGUCUCCUUAGGUGUGUUUCUGUCGUUUAUUCUUUCAUUCAUAUGUGAUUUUUGUUCAUAUCCUUCUGUGUUACACUUCAUUAUCAUUGAUACUGCCUCUAGCUUUGGACUUUACCUGGUUAGAUAGCAGAUUUGUCCUGCGUAAUUCACAUACGUUCAGCUGAUUAUGUGACGACUGCCACCAAAUUGCAUAGUAAAUAUUGAAUAAAUUAUAGGUUUACAGUAGUGCCUGUUUGUGCUUUACAGUGUGACUAAGGUUUGGGACACCCAGCUGGUAUUCUUUACUGACAACAUCAUUUUCACUGUGGGACUUUGUGGCAGUAGAAACUUGAAACUACAAAUGCAGGAGAAAGAUUGAUUGUCAUUGUUCCUGAAUACUAUUAACAACCUUUUGCUGUGGAUUUUAUUAGAGCCACAACGGUUAAUCGAUUUAGUGUUCAACUAUUUUCAUAAUCGAAUAAUCAGUUUGAGUAAUGUGAAAAUUCUCUUAUUCCAGCUUCUUAAAUGUGGAUAUUUUCUGGUUUCUUUACUCCCCGAUGACCGUUAACUGAAUAUCUUUGGUUUUUGGACAAAACAAGACAUUUGAGGACGUCAUCUUGAGCUUUGUGAAACACUGAUCGCAUUUUUUCACCAAUUGUAUAGACCAAACAACUAAUCGUAAAAAUAAUCGACAAAUUAAUCGACAGUGGAAAAUGAUCAUUAGUUGCAGCCCUAGAUUGUAUACCACAUGGCAUCACUGUGCUGUUCUGUCCAGCUGAUGGGGAGCUUGUAAGCGCUCUCCCAAAUGCAAAUCAGCUUAAGGAGAAAGCGAAUGUUGGAUAACGAUGUUGGAUUUAAUCUCUGUCCUGCCUCCCAGGAUGCAGCUGCCACGGGUGUCCUUGUAAGGAAAAUAACCUUCACAGCUUGACCAUGUCGUUCAUAAAAUCAUAUUUACAUAGGUCAAUGAUAGUUUACAUACUGUAUGCUCCCUCAGAAGUUAAAAGGUGUGUGGAUCAGAUGCAAAUUGCAUCAGGGACACAGUGGAUGACACAUUAUCAUGUUCUGAAAUAAGACAGUGUUGCCUUGGGAGCCGGCCUCUGCUGUCAGAACCUUUCCGUCUGCUGCACGCACACAUAAACACACGCCCUCCCUUUUUAGACAAACACGUCUGUGGUCCACUGUCUGUUUGAAUCUCGUUUGCUCAGGUCACACCCUAUGUCACAUGCAUUGAGACACAACAGAGAAGCCGGCUCAUGACAGAUCCAAAAUUUAAUUUCAGCCUGGUCAAGCUCUGUUCAUUAUCUGUAAAAAUUUCAGGUAAGGUGAAAAACUAUUUUUAUUAUUUUUUUUUGUCAGGAUAGUUUUUGAUGUCAAGUAUUGUUUGUUGUUGUAAUACUCAUUUCGGCCACAAGAGGCUGAAGUGCAUCGCUACCUCAUUUUCUAAAUAGGACUAAAAGCAUUCCUUUUUUUUCUUUCUCCCAAGUGAAAUGCAGAUUAAAAUAAAUUUAUUCCCAAACAAAAAACAUGACAGUAAUGUUACAUACCUUGAUAACCCACAAUAUAUGUACAUUGUGUUUAGCGUGCAUGGAGAAGUUAAAAUUCAAUUGGUUAUAUGUGUGUAUAUGUAAAUAUUAAUGCUUUAGUCUAUUGAAAGGAAAUAAAAAUCUGCCAAAAGCGCUUUUACAGAUGAAGAAAACUAUUUGAGGAACUUAGGAAGCCUGGCAAAACCUUUUUAUUUUCCCUACCUAUUCCUAAGUCUAAACAGAUUUUUCUGCUGGAUAAUGUGAGAAGAUGAUUCAAACUUCAAAUGCAGCAACCUGCCGUCCACAAUAACAAUAUUAACCUCUUUAUGCCCUGAAGACGAGUGAGCAUGUCACUAUAUAUCAUGUUCUUUUGUUCUCAUUGUGUACACCGUUGUGACUUAUUUCUGAGCCGCAUGCUGUAGAUUCACUGCACACUCAGUAAAAUGUAAAGUGUUUGUUUCAUGCCUUCAUGUUGACAUGGAAAACUAGCCUUUGUUUUUAUAUUUUGAGGUCAAAUGUGUAUUUAACUGACUAGACUCUAUAUUGAUUUCGGCAUAUUUCAGUCACUCUUACCCACGUGAUCAUAUGAUAUGACUGUUACAUAGGUGUUACAUAAUAGGAGAGUUUUCCAGAUAGCUCUUUAUCUACCAUUUGUUAGUAGCUGUGUACCACUAUGUGGCAUACAUGGCUAACUUCAGGUGUAAAGGAGCACAGCAUUUUACUGUAUGUAGACUGCUGCGCUUUGCAAUCACAAGUGUCCGUUUGAAAUAUAUUUAUAUUUUAACUCAGUGUUUUGCAGCAUUGUCCUAAUCUAAAUUUGCUGCCAGUCUAAAUGAAACUGUCAUCCUGCAUACUCAAGUGACCUGUGUGAUUGAAUCUACUGUUUGCGUCUCUACCAUAGACUGUAUAUAAAAAGGUCUACAUUGUA